rnacentral:rRNA from 1 species
UAACGCGUGGGCAACCUGCCCCGCACUGGGGGACAACAGCCGGAAACGGCUGCUAAUACCGCAUAUGCGCACAGCUUUGCAUGAAGCAGUGUGGAAAACUCCGGUGGUGCGGGAUGGGCCCGCGUCUGAUUAGCUGGUUGGCGGGGCAACGGCCCACCAAGGCGACGAUCAGUAGCCGGCCUGAGAGGGUGGACGGCCACAUUGGGACUGAGACACGGCCCAGACUCCUACGGAAGGCAGCAG